rnacentral:rRNA from 1 species
AAUAAGAAAGUAAUAAAGGGCGCAUGGGGAAUGCCUGGGCUCUCAGAGGCGAAGAAGGACGUGAUAAGCUGCGAAAAGUCAUGGGUAGGUGCAAAUAACCAUUAAUCCGUGAAUCUCCGAAUGGGGCAACCCGGCCAUUAGCAAUAGUGGUCAUCCUAUUUAUAGGAAGCAAACCCGCUGAACUGAAACAUCUAAGUAGGCGGAGGAAAAGAAAACAAAAGUGAUUCCCAUAGUAGCGGCGAGCGAACAGGGAACAGCCUAAACCAAUAUUGUUUCGGCAAUAUUGGGGUUGUAGGACCGACAUAAUUAUUAUUAAUACGAAGUGGAAGCAUUUGGAAAGUUGCAUCACAGAGGGUGACAAUCCCGUACAUGCAAGUAUGAUAAUAAGGUUGGUAUCCUGAGUAGCGCGGAACACGAGAAAUUCUGUGUGAAUCAGCCGGGACCAUCCGGUAAGGCUAAAUACUCCUGAGAGACCGAUAGUGAACCAGUACCGUGAGGGAAAGGUGAAAAGCACCCCGAACAGGGGAGUGAAAUAGUACCUGAAACCGUGCGCCUACAAGCGGUCGGAGCCAAUU